AUACGGAGGAUCCGAGCGUUAUCCGGAUUUAUUGGGUUUAAAGGGUGCGCAGGCGGGAGAUUAAGUCGGCGGGGAAAUUUUGCAGAUCAACUGGAAAAGUGCCUUCGAUACUGGUUUUCUUGAGUGUGGGUGAAGUUGGCGGGAUUUUUGGGGGAGCGGGGAAAUGCUUAGAUAUCACGAGGAACUCCGAUUGCGCAGGCAGCUUACUAAACCACUACUGACGCUCAGGCACGAAGGCGUGGGGAUCAAACAGGAUUAGAUACCCUGGUAGUCCACGCAGUAAACGAUGAUUACUGGCUGUUUGCGAUACAAUGUAAGCGGCUGAGCGAAAGCGUUAAGUAAUCCACCUGGGGAGUACGUUCGCAAGAAUGAAACUCAAAUGAAUUGACGGGG
rnacentral:rRNA from 1 species